AGGUUUCUCUUCCCACUGUGCAUCUACAUCUGCAGUAGCUAAAUGCAGUUGGCAUAUAUCAACCGUUGCCAAAUGGUUAUAAAUUAUAAUAGCAUGAUGAAGGACUGUUGAGGUCACAUGGACUCCAUGAGAAUGUCCCCAGCUACUUUCAGUGAAAUCAUGCAGGCAGUUUGUGUCCAUCUGUCAGCAAAGACCCAUCAGCUGUAACUCAAGAAGUAAAUGCCGGAAGUUUCUCAAGAAGUUCAGUGCACUACCAGCAUAUGUUUACAAGGCAGCCAUGGGCCACAUGACAGGGCACAAGGUGACUUGAGCCUCUGUCCAGUGAGAUGGACAGAAGACGAGA